CACGUAGGGUGCGAGCGUUGUCCGGAAUUAUUGGGCGUAAAGAGCUCGUAGGCGGCUCGUCGCGUCGACCGUGAAAACCCGCGGCUUAACUGCGGGCUUGCGGUUGAUACGGGCGGGCUAGAGUUCGGUAGGGGAGACUGGAAUUCCUGGUGUAGCGGUGAAAUGCGCAGAUAUCAGGAGGAACACCGGUGGCGAAGGCGGGUCUCUGGGCCGAUACUGACGCUGAGGAGCGAAAGCGUGGGGAGCGAACAGG
rnacentral:rRNA from 1 species